GGACUGACAAGUGGUGACUGUGAGAUGCACAGGGAACAGAUGGAGCAGCUGGUGCGGUGCAUGAAAGGUCAAGUGCUGGGACUGAUGGUGUCCUGUCGCACACAGGCCAGUGUCUCAGUGUGACCAUGAGAUUCAGCAGUCAGCCUUGCCCAGGUGUCCUCUCCAGUCUCCAGUGGACCUGGAAGUUGGAGGCAGAAGUGGGGGUGCCAGGAUCCACGUGUUACUGUGUGGUCCUGAGUGGAUUUGCCAUAACAAGUACAUUACUUAUGUCUGGUUUAUCAUACGAUGCUGGUCUUUAUAACUAAUCAUUAAUCUUCUACACUAUUUUCCAUAAGCUUUACCCAUGGAUGAAAGAUUUUUUAACUUUUCCUCACAUGAUAGAUCUAGACUUUGAAAUAUUGAACUAAGGGGAAAAAACCUGGAAAGUAUGUUGAGAAGUACGCACAAUUGCUGCCCUGCCUAACUCUUCAGGUGACAAGUAGCUGUCUAAAGCUUGGAACUGUCAAAGGACUUCUGAGUAUGCUUCCAGCCACAAGUCAGUGACAUCUUAACCAGUGUGUGGAGGAGGAGGGCAUUGGUUUCCACACUGAGGCAGCUCUGUGGUGGUUGUUCCUCUCAGGUACCCUCUACUGGUAAACUUGAACUAUACUGACAGACCAUAGCACAGCUAUGUCCCCAUCGUGCUGGAGUUUGUAUGAAGAGUCAGGAUGUUAAUACUACAUUUUUUUGCCUUCUUUCUCAUAGCUAAUGUCUAUGGAACUAGCUGUAUUACUUGUUUUUUGUUUUGUUUUGUUUUUUAUUGUUAUAGCUCUGUUAAAUGGCCCCCCAAAUUUCCAGAUAGUAUCCCUAACUGCAACAGAAGAAUUUUAUGGAUCCUUAACUCACAAUAAGUUUGACUUUCAACAAUUUGUUCAGUGUGAAUAUUUUUACGUCUUUUUCAUGCUUCCACUUACUUGGAACUCAGUUUAUUCUUAAAAACUGUCUAGUAGAACCAGCUUAUUAAGUGUUACUUUGGUAUGCAGUGAAAUGGUCAAUUAAGCAAUAUUGAAGAAAGAUACUUUGACUGUUUUGAAAUUUAUUAUGAAUCAUAAAACAAAAAUCAUUUCAUAGUAUUUCAGAGAUAAAGUCUCAACUGUUCUUAGUCCAAUAUGUCAGUAGAAUUUAUAGUGCAAAUAAAAUUUGCUUAAUUAAAAGAUUUUUUUUUGAAAGUCCAUCUAUUAUCAGAAAGCACCAGGAAGAAGUUGUAUUAGUAGCUGCUGUUUUCAUUGGAAGAGUUUUUCAUUAAAUUUCUGUGUAAAAUCUAUUCUUAAUAAGAGAUUUUGUUUGUUUUCCAAACAUAGUAUAUAGUGUGAUCUUUUACAAUCGAAAUGGAUAAGGAAGAAACAAGUGAGGGCUGGUGAUGGUCUUAUAACCACUACAGAAACUCUGUGUUUAGUGCUGUAUCUUGUAUUCAUUCUCAUGUUAAUUAAUUACUAGAUGUUGUCAGUCAUGUCUCCAGUGAAAACAGGAGUGAUAGGGCUUUCUGAGUCAGUUGAUGAAUGAAUCAUACUAAUUUUUAACAGUUUUUUCAUAUAAUUUUGUCUCCAUCUUUUCAGUAUGUUGAACAAGUUCUUCUAGGUGGUAAAGUUUGUGUUCCAGGUAUAUUGAGUUUAUGUAUUUAUCAUGUAUGCACUGUUGUUAGGUGAAAACAUACUUCAACUUGAUGGGCAGCCAUUAUUCAGUAUUCAUGUGUACUGAUGUUGAUAUAUAUUAGAUACUGUGUUUUACUAUACCUACAAGGUUAUACAAAAUUCUUUCCUUUUACUCAUGAGUUCUAUCUGUUUGGAUUUUUUGUUUGUUUAGAUUUUUUUCUUCGUGUGUUAAAAAAUAUAGUUUAAUGCUUUUUCUGGUACCUUGCCCUUUGUUGGCAUAAUUGGGAUAUAAAUCGUUCAAAUCUCCACAAUUAAGAGUUUCAGAAAUAUGUGAUACUGGCCACUUGACUUAAUAAAGACUAGAUAUGCAAAACAGGUGGAAAAAAAUACCUAUUUCCUCACUAAAAACAAUUGAAUAUUUUUCUUAUUAUUAGCAAAUAUUAGUAAUAGCAUAGACUGAAUAAUUUCUAUGUUUUGGCAAGCACAUAGUGAGACAAUGCUUAUUACAGUAAGUACUCAUUUCAGUUAACUAACUGGGUACUGUAAUUCCAAUAGGGCUGUAAUGCAUGGAAACUCACUCUUCAGAUUCCUUAGAGCUGUAACCUGAGACAGUUGAAGGGCCCAUAGUUCAUUUGGGAGGUGUAGAUAGUAGUGAAGCUGAGGAAGCCUGCAAAGGAAAGGUGUACAGAGGGUGUGCUGUCAAGCUGGCUAACACUGCAGGAUGCUAGAACUGUAUUUCCUUUGUGCUACUCUGGAAAAACUAGAACACACAAUUCAGACAUACCUCAUGUGAAGAAUUGGGGUACAGAACUAGUCUGGGGCAGUGGUAGCUAUCCUGUACAGUGAACAGCAGUUCUUGGCAACUUGUGAUCAAGAGCUGUAGCUGGACAUGAUGGCACAUGCUUGCAGUCCCAGCACCUGAGAGGUAGAAUCAGGAAGAACAGGAGUUUAGGGGGAACCUGGGCUACAUGGACUGUGUCC
ensembl:lincRNA